UGGGGAAUAUUGGACAAUGGGGGCAACCCUGAUCCAGCAAUGCCGCGUGUGUGAAGAAGGUCUUCGGAUUGUAAAGCACUUUCGACGGGGACGAUGAUGACGGUACCCGUAGAAGAAGCCCCGGCUAACUUCGUGCCAGCAGCCGCGGUAAUACGAAGGGGGCUAGCGUUGCUCGGAAUGACUGGGCGUAAAGGGCGUGUAGGCGGUUUACACAGUCAGAUGUGAAAUCCCCGGGCUUAACCUGGGAGCUGCAUUUGAUACGUGUAGACUAGAGUGUGAGAGAGGGUUGUGGAAUUCCCAGUGUAGAGGUGAAAUUCGUAGAUAUUGGGAAGAACACCGGUGGCGAAGGCGGCAACCUGGCUCAUGACUGACGCUGAGGCGCGAAAGCGUGGGGAGCAAACAGGAUUAG
rnacentral:rRNA from 1 species